GACGAACGCUGGCGGCGUGCUUAACACAUGCAAGUCGAACGGAAAGGCCCUGCAUUUGUGGGGUGCUCGAGUGGCGAACGGGUGAGUAACACGUGAGUAACCUGCCCUUGACUUUGGGAUAACUUCAGGAAACUGGGGCUAAUACCGGAUCGGAGCUCCUGCUGCAUGGUGGGGGUUGGAUAGUUUCGGCGGUUGGGGAUGGACUCGCGGCUUAUCAGCUUGUUGGUGGGGUAGUGGCUUACCAAGGCUUUGACGGGUAGCCGGCCUGUGAGGGUGACCAGGGUCAUGGGUACUGAGAUACGGCCCAGACUCCUACGGGAGGCAGCAGUGGCGAAUAUUGCACAAUGGGCGGAAGCCUGAUGCAGCAACGCCGCGUGCGGGAUGACGGCCUUCGGGGUGUAAACCGCGUUCGCCUGUGACGAAGCGUGAGUGACGGUAAUGGGUAAAGAAGCACCGGCUAACUACGUG
rnacentral:rRNA from 1 species